UGGGGAAUAUUGCGCAAUGGGCGAAAGCCUGACGCAGCGACACCGCGUGAAGGAUGAAGGUCUUAGGAUUGUAAACUUCUGUUAAGUGGGAAGAAAAGUUUUGUUUUAAUAGAGCAAGAUUAUGACGGUACCAUUAGAGAAAGCACCGGCUAACUUCGUGCCAGCAGCCGCGGUAAUACGAGGGGUGCAAGCGUUAUUCGGAAUUAUUGGGCGUAAAGGGUGCGUAGACGGCACAUUAAGUUUAUUGUUAAAGCCUUCGGCUCAACCGGAGAAUCGCAAUAAAAACUGAUGAGCUAGAGGUUGAGAGAGAGGAGUGGAAUUCCCGGAGUAGCGGUAAAAUGCGUAGAUCUCGGGAGGAACACCAAUGGCGAAGGCAGCUCCUUGGCUCAAAUCUGACGUU
rnacentral:rRNA from 1 species